GAUGAAGAACGUAGCGAAAUGCGAUAAGUAGUGUGAAUUGCAGAAUUCAGUGAAUCAUCGAAUCUUUGAACGCACAUUGCGCCCCUUGGUAUCCCGAGGGGCAUGCCUGUUCGAGCGUCAUUUCACCACUCAAGCCUGGCUUGGUGUUGGGCGAUGUCCUCUUUGGGGACGCGCCUCGAAACGCUCGGCGGCGUGGCACCGGCUUUAAGCGUAGCAGAAUCUUUCGCUUUGGAAGUCGGGGCCCCGUCUGCCGGAAGACCUGCUCGCAAGGUUGACCUCGGAUCAGGCAGGGAUACCCGCUGAACUUAAGCAUAUCAAUAAGCGGAGGA
rnacentral:misc_RNA from 1 species